rnacentral:rRNA from 1 species
AGAGUUUGAUCCUGGCUCAGAGCGAACGCUGGCGGCAGGCUUAACACAUGCAAGUCGAACGGGCACUUCGGUGCUAGUGGCAGACGGGUGAGUAACACGUGGGAACGUACCUUUCGGUUCGGAAUAAUCCAGGGAAACUUGGACUAAUACCGGAUACGCCCUUCGGGGGAAAGAUUCAUCGCCGAUAGAUCGGCCCGCGUCUGAUUAGCUAGUUGGUGAGGUAAUGGCUCACCAAGGCGACGAUCAUUAGCUGGUCUGAGAGGAUGAUCAGCCACAUUGGGACUGAGACACGGCCCAAACUCCUACGGGAGGCAGCAGUGGGGAAUAUUGGACAAUGGGCGCAAGCCUGAUCCAGCCAUGCCGCGUGAGUGAUGAAGGCCUUAGGGUUGUAAAGCUCUUUUGUCCGGGAAGAUAAUGACUGUACCGGAAGAAUAAGCCCCGGCUAACUUCGUGCCAGCAGCCGCGGUAAUACGAAGGGGGCUAGCGUUGCUCGGAAUCACUGGGCGUAAAGGGCGCGUAGGCGGACUCUUAAGUCGGGGGUGAAAGCCCAGGGCUCAACCCUGGAAUUGCCUUCGAUACUGAGAGUCUUGAGUUCGGAAGAGGUUGGUGGAACUGCGAGUGUAGAGGUGAAAUUCGUAGAUAUUCGCAAGAACACCAGUGGCGAAGGCGGCCAACUGGUCCGAUACUGACGCUGAGGCGCGAAAGCGUGGGGAGCAAACAGGAUUAGAUACCCUGGUAGUCC